UGCGCAGGCGGCCGGAUAAGUCAGGGGUGAAAUAUGACGGCUCAACCGUCAAACUGCCCCUGAAACUGCCAGGCUUGAGUCCGGGAGAGGUAGGUGGAAUUCCAGGUGUAGCGGUGAAAUGCGUAAAUAUCUGGAGGAACACCGGUGGCGAAGGCGGCCUACUGGCCCGGAACUGACGCUCAGGCACGAAAGCUAGGGGAGCAAACAGGAUUAGAUACCCUGGUAGUC
rnacentral:rRNA from 1 species